UCGAAGAUCGAGAUAUGCCUCCCUGUCCAACCGUUGAAGACGACCUGCAACUGCGCAUCCAGAUCUCUGCUCCUCCUGCGUAACCGACGACGGUACGCUCUUCUCCUCCGGCGUCGAUCAUCGACGGGGAGCUCCGCUCAUUCGAAGAUCGAGAUAUGCCUCCCUGUACAACCGUUGAAGACGACCUGCAACUGCGCAUCCAUAUCUCUGCUCCUCCUGCGUAACCGACGACGGUACGCUCUUCUCCUCCGGCAUCGAUCGUCGACCAAUUGGCGCUCCGUGUGAUGCCGAAGGAAAGAUUGGGUUGAAUUAAUGCUCUUUUAUUUUAUUUGAUGAUGAUAUAGAUCGAAAGGAUCAUAGGAAGGAAAAGUGGGUUUCUGUUUUGUUCUUCGAUUUGAGACUUUAUCGGAAGGAGAUUAGAGAUGGGUUUCUUCAGUACUAUAUUUGGGUUUUUCGGCUUUGGUGUGGGAAUUACAAUUGGACUUGUAGUUGGCUUAUAAACA